rnacentral:rRNA from 1 species
GAUGAACGCUGGCGGCGUGCCUAAUACAUGCAAGUCGAGCGAACGGACGAGAAGCUUGCUUCUCUGAUGUUAGCGGCGGACGGGUGAGUAACACGUGGAUAACCUACCUAUAAGACUGGGAUAACUUCGGGAAACCGGAGCUAAUACCGGAUAAUAUUUUGAACCGCAUGGUUCAAAAGUGAAAGACGGUCUUGCUGUCACUUAUAGAUGGAUCCGCGCUGCAUUAGCUAGUUGGUAAGGUAACGGCUUACCAAGGCAACGAUGCAUAGCCGACCUGAGAGGGUGAUCGGCCACACUGGAACUGAGACACGGUCCAGACUCCUACGGGAGGCAGCAGUAGGGAAUCUUCCGCAAUGGGCGAAAGCCUGACGGAGCAACGCCGCGUGAGUGAUGAAGGUCUUCGGAUCGUAAAACUCUGUUAUUAGGGAAGAACAUAUGUGUAAGUAACUGUGCACAUCUUGACGGUACCUAAUCAGAAAGCCACGGCUAACUACGUGCCAGCAGCCGCGGUAAUACGUAGGUGGCAAGCGUUAUCCGGAAUUAUUGGGCGUAAAGCGCGCGUAGGCGGUUUUUUAAGUCUGAUGUGAAAGCCCACGGCUCAACCGUGGAGGGUCAUUGGAAACUGGAAAACUUGAGUGCAGAAGAGGAAAGUGGAAUUCCAUGUGUAGCGGUGAAAUGCGCAGAGAUAUGGAGGAACACCAGUGGCGAAGGCGACUUUCUGGUCUGUAACUGACGCUGAUGUGCGAAAGCGUGGGGAUCAAACAGGAUUAGAUACCCUGGUAGUCCACGCCGUAAACGAUGAGUGCUAAGUGUUAGGGGGUUUCCGCCCCUUAGUGCUGCAGCUAACGCAUUAAGCACUCCGCCUGGGGAGUACGACCGCAAGGUUGAAACUCAAAGGAAUUGACGGGGACCCGCACAAGCGGUGGAGCAUGUGGUUUAAUUCGAAGCAACGCGAAGAACCUUACCAAAUCUUGACAUCCUUUGACAACUCUAGAGAUAGAGCUUUCCCCUUCGGGGGACAAAGUGACAGGUGGUGCAUGGUUGUCGUCAGCUCGUGUCGUGAGAUGUUGGGUUAAGUCCCGCAACGAGCGCAACCCUUAAGCUUAGUUGCCAUCAUUAAGUUGGGCACUCUAAGUUGACUGCCGGUGACAAACCGGAGGAAGGUUGGGAUGACGUCAAAUCAUCAUGCCCCUUAUGAUUUGGGCUACACACGUGCUACAAUGGACAAUACAAAGGGCAGCGAAACCGCGAGGUCAAGCAAAUCCCAUAAAGUUGUUCUCAGUUCGGAUUGUAGUCUGCAACUCGACUACAUGAAGCUGGAAUCGCUAGUAAUCGUAGAUCAGCAUGCUACGGUGAAUACGUUCCCGGGUCU